ensembl:piRNA 21ur-4902 ncRNA
UUUCGUCAGCAUGGCUAGUAC